GACGAACGCUGGCGGCGUGCUUAACACAUGCAAGUCGAACGAAGAGCGAUGGAAGCUUGCUUCUAUCCAUCUUAGUGGCGAACGGGUGAGUAACGCGUAAUCAACCUGCCCUUCAGAGGGGGACAACAGUUGGAAACGACUGCUAAUGCCGCAUACGAUCUGACCUCGGCAUCGAGGAUAGAUGAAAGGUGGCCUCUAUUUAUAAGCUAUCACUGAAGGAGGGGAUUGCGUCUGAUUAGCUAGUUGGAGGGGUAACGGCCCACCAAGGCGAUGAUCAGUAGCCGGUCUGAGAGGAUGAACGGCCACAUUGGGACUGAGACACGGCCCAGACUCCUACGGGAGGCAGCAGUGGGGAAUCUUCCGCAAUGGACGAAAGUCUGACGGAGCAACGCCGCGUGAGUGAUGACGGCCUUCGGGUUGUAAAGCUCUGUUAAUCGGGACGAAAGGCCUUCUUGCGAAUAGUUAGAAGGAUUGACGGUACCGGAAUAGAAAGCCACGGCUAACUACGU
rnacentral:rRNA from 1 species